rnacentral:rRNA from 1 species
UGGCGGCAGGCUUAACACAUGCAAGUCGAGCGGAAACGAUCCUAGCUUGCUAUGAGGCGUCGAGCGGCGGACGGGUGAGUAACGCGUGAGAAUCUACCCAUGAGUGGGGGACAACCCGGGGAAACUCGGGCUAAUACCGCAUACGCCCUACGGGGUAAAGCAGGGGACCUUCGGGCCUUGCGCUGAUGGAUGAGCUCGCGCGGAUUAGCUUGUUGGUGAGGUAAAGGCUCACCAAGGCGACGAUCCGUAGCUUGGUCUGAGAGGAUGAUCAGCCACACCGGGACUGAGACACGGCCCGGACUCCUACGGGAGGCAGCAGUGGGGAAUCUUGGACAAUGGGGGCAACCCUGAUCCAGCCAUGCCGCGUGUGUGAAGAAGGCCUUCGGGUAAGCC